CGGGGCUCAACGCCUUGUAAUUGGAAUGAUGGGAACCUAAACCCCUUCCAGAGUAUCAAUUGGAGGGCAAGUCUGGUGCCAGCAGCCGCGGUAAUUCCAGCUCCAAUAGCGUAUAUUAAAAUUGUUGCAGUUAAAAAGCUCGUAGUUGAAUUUCUGCCGCAUCGCGGCGGCCCUCCCGGGCCCAGCGUUGCGGCUUAUUUCGGACUCGCUUGCGUCUCCGAAUGUUUACUUUGAGAAAAUUAGAGUGCUCAAAGCAGGCCCUUGCCUUGAAUACUUUAGCAUGGAAUAAUAAAGUAGGACUUUGGUUCUAUUUUGUUGGUUUAGCGCCAAAGUAAUGGUUAAUAGGAACAGUUGGGGGCAUUCGUAUUUAACUGUCAGAGGUGAAAUUCUUAGAUUUGUUAAAGACGAACCACUGCGAAAGCAUUUGCCAAGGAUGUUUUCAUUAAUCAAGAACGAAAGUUAGGGGAUCGAA
rnacentral:rRNA from 1 species